rnacentral:rRNA from 1 species
GACAGAGGUGCCAAGCGUUAGGCGGAAUCACUGGGCUUAAAGCGUGUGUAGGCGGGCGGGCAAGUACCUUGUGAAAUCCCACGGCUCAACCGUGGAACGGCUGGGUAUACUGCCUGUCUUGAGCCAGCUAGGGGCGACCGGAACAGACGGUGGAGCGGUGAAAUGCGUAGAUAUCGGAAGGAACUCCGGCGGCGAAAGCGAUGCACUGGCUGGUUUCUGACGCUGAGGUGCGAAAGCCAGGGGAGCAAACGGG